rfam:Octopus bimaculoides Scaffold98139_contig_25, whole genome shotgun sequence.
AGCUUUGCGCAGAGGCGGUACCAUAGCCAAUGAGGGUUAUCCGAGGCGUGGUUAUUACUAGUUGAAAAUAUUAUUAUUAGUAUUAUUAUUAUUAUUAUUAUUAUUAUUAUUUAUUAUUA